GACGAACGCUGGCGGCGUGCCUAAUACAUGCAAGUAGAACGCACAGUUUAUACCGUAGCUUGCUACACCAUAGACUGCGAGUUGCGAACGGGUGAGUAACGCGUAGGUAACCUGCCUGGUAGCGGGGGAUAACUAUUGGAAACGAUAGCUAAUACCGCAUAAUAUUGAUUAUUGCAUGAUAAUUGAUUGAAAGAUGCUAUUGCAUCACUACCAGAUGGACCUGCGUUGUAUUAGCUAGUAGGUGAGGUAACGGCUCACCUAGGCGACGAUACAUAGCCGACCUGAGAGGGUGAUCGGCCACACUGGGACUGAGACACGGCCCAGACUCCUACGGGAGGCAGCAGUAGGGAAUCUUCGGCAAUGGACGAAAGUCUGACCGAGCAACGCCGCGUGAGUGAAGAAGGUUUUCGGAUCGUAAAGCUCUGUUGUAAGAGAAGAACGGGUGUGAGAGUGGAAAGUCCACACUGUGACGGUAUCUUACCAGAAAGGGGCGGCUAACUACGUG
rnacentral:rRNA from 1 species